rnacentral:rRNA from 1 species
AACUUUCAGCAAUGGAUCUCUCGGCUUUCGUAUCGAUGAAGAACGCAGCGAAUCGCGAU